rnacentral:rRNA from 1 species
GGCGGCGUGCCUAACACAUGCAAGUCGAGCGAGAAAGUUCCUUCGGGAAUGAGUACAGCGGCGGACGGGUGAGUAACACGUAAGAAUCUGCCCUAUAGUGAGGAAUACCCUCGAGAAAUUGAGGUUAAUACUGCAUAAGUCCCUGCGGGGAGAAAGGCGUCUUUUAUGUCGCCGCUAUAGGAUGAGCUUGCGGACUAUCAGCUUGUUGGUGAGGUAAAGGCUCACCAAGGCUAUGACGGUUAACCGGCCUGAGAGGGUGUACGGUCACAUAGGCACUGAGACACGGGCCUGACUCCUACGGGAGGCAGCAGUGGGGAAUAUUGCGCAAUGGGCGAAAGCCUGACGCAGCGACGCCGCGUGGAGGAUGAAGGUCUUCGGAUUGUAAACUCCUGUCAGAUGGAAAGAAAGGUCUGCGUUUAAUAGACGCGGAAUAUGACGGUACCAUCAGAGGAAGCACCGGCUAACUUCGUGCCAGCAGCCGCGGUAAUACGAAGGGUGCAAGCGUUAUUCGGAAUCACUGGGCGUAAAGGGUGUGUAGACGGUCCAUUAAGUUCGUCGUUAAAGGCUCCAGCCUAACCGGA